ACGUUCCCGGGCCUUGUACACACCGCCCGUCACACCAUGGGAGUGGGUUGCUCCAGAAGUAGCUAGUCUAACCGCAAGGGGGACGGUUACCACGGAGUGAUUCAUGACUGGGGUGAAGUCGUAACAAGGUAGCCGUAGGGGAACCUGCGGCUGGAUCACCUCCUUA
rnacentral:rRNA from 1 species